GUGCUGGCUUUGGCAGCACCUAUAUAAAAAAUUGGGAUAAUACACAAAUUGGCGUGGCCCUGAACAAAGGUGACAUGCAAAUUCAUAAGGUGUUACAUAGUUUU
rnacentral:snRNA from 1 species